GGCGUGCUUAAUACAUGCAAGUCGAACGAAGCUUUCUUUCACCGAAUGCUUGCAUUCACCGAAAGAAGCUUAGUGGCGAACGGGUGAGUAACACGUAGGCAACCUGCCCAAAAGAGGGGGAUAACACUUGGAAACAGGUGCUAAUACCGCAUAACCAUGAACACCGCAUGAUGUUCAUGUAAAAGACGGCUUUUGCUGUCACUUUUGGAUGGGCCUGCGGCGUAUUAACUUGUUGGUGGGGUAACGGCCUACCAAGGUGAUGAUACGUAGCCGAACUGAGAGGUUGAUCGGCCACAUUGGGACUGAGACACGGCCCAAACUCCUACGGGAGGCAGCAGUAGGGAAUCUUCCACAAUGGACGAAAGUCUGAUGGAGCAACGCCGCGUGAAUGAAGAAGGCCUUCGGGUCGUAAAAUUCUGUUGUCAGAGAAGAACGUGCGUGAGAGUAACUGUUCACGUAUUGACGGUAUCUGACCAGAAAGCCACGGCUAACUACGUGCCAGCAGCCGCGGUAAUACGUAGGUGGCGAGCGUUGUCCGGAUUUAUUGGGCGUAAAGGGAACGCAGGCGGUCUUUUAAGUCUGAUGUGAAAGCUUCGGCUUAACCGAAGUAGUGCAUUGGAAACUGGAAGAC
rnacentral:rRNA from 1 species